rnacentral:misc_RNA from 1 species
GCCAGGUCGUACUGAGGUAGAGCAGCUACAUAAGAUAUACAAGUUAUGUGGUUCACCUUCAGAUGAGUACUGGAAAAAGUCAAAAUUGCCUAAUGCAACUUUAUUUAGACCUCGGGAGCCUUACAAAAGAUGCAUAAGAGAAACAUUUAAAGAUUUUCCACCGUCAUCACUUCCUCUCAUAGAUACUCUUCUUGCAAUUGAUCCAGCUGAACGUCAGACAGCCACAGCUGCCCUUAGAAGUGAAUUCUUCACAACAGAGCCUUAUCCAUGUGAACCUUCUAGUCUCCCAAAAUACCCCCCAAGUAAGGAGAUGGAUGCUAAACGACGAGAUGAUGAAGCUCGAAGAUUAAGAGCUGCUGCCAAAGCCCAGGGUGAUAACGCGAAGAAAGUGCGGACACGUGAACUGGCUGCUAGGGGAAUGCCUGCCCCAGAAGCCAAUGCAGAACUUCAAUCUAACAUUGAUGUAUGUCUGUCAACCAUUGUUUUGUUUUUUGCAUGGUUAAAUAUGGCCAUGGUCUAGGUUGGGCUCGGAACUGCCAGUUCAGACCCAGAACUGGCCUAUGGCCCUCUCUGUGUGGGUUCUCUCACUUACAAAUUCUUGGAUGAUCAUGCCCUGUGAUUUUAGUUUUCUUGUGCAAGAAAUAACCACAUAAAUCAAGUUAGCAUCAAGUAGGUAAAAUAUUGUUUGCACCCUUGGCCUCUUCUCAUUUUGCCAUUUAAUUUGAUUAUUUGUCAAAACAAUCCUUUGACUGGUGCCAGUUAGGAAUUCUAAUUUUUGUUCAUUCUGGAAUAGAAGGUUUAUUUUUUCCCCACUUUUGAAUGAGCUUUAGUUUAUGGGUUUGCUAUUUCAAUAUAUAUGCUGAGGCAGCUUAUACUCCCUUUGUUCAGUUUAAGUUAAUUAUUGCCUAAUAUGUAGUGGUUGAGAAUCUGCAUUGUUGUAAUUAACAUGUCCACUCUGAGAGAUUUUAUUGGUUUGGUGACUCAAUUCCAGUUUGCUUACAUUUUCUUGAUUGUUUACAAUGUUGUUAUCUUCAUAAAACAGAAACGACGGCUGAUUACUUAUGCAAAUGCAAAGAGCAAAAGUGAAAAGUUUCCUCCACCUCACCAGGAUGGGGCACUUGGCUAUCCUUUAGGAUCAUCUCAGCAUAUUGAUCCUGCAUUGGUCCCUGCUGAUGUAUCUUAUAGCUCUAGUUCAUUCACCUAUUCAAAAGAGCCAGUGCAAACUUGGUCAGGUCCGUUGGUUGACCCAGCUGGGCUUGGUGCUCCAAGGCGAAAGAAGAAUGUCACAGUUGAUACGCGGGAAUCAUCAAAAACAUCAGCAGGGACCCAUAAAGAUAAAACUGGCGAUAUUCGGUUUAAGGGAAAGAAAAGCAUGGCUUAAACUUUUAGGACAUACAUGCAAUGGGAAACCAGAUUUGUGAAACUGGCGAUUGCCUAUACAGCAGAAGACACACUGCUAUUUAAUGCAAGUGCCUGGCUUCUUCACACAUGAAAGAUACAUAAUUGUUUUGGUUAAAAUUGUAUUUGGGGUGAAGUCAAAUUUUCUAUACUUUUUGUUUUACAUUUUCAUGAUAGAAAAUUUUCUUUUGUUUCGGUUGGGAUGAUGAGAAAAUUUCAUUGAUGUGUAUAUUUUGGUUAUUCUUUUCCUCUUAAAGCUCCUUGUUUUGAAAACUAAGAACUGUCUAAAUUAGUGGAAAGAAAUCAAUAUUUUCAGGAGAUCCA